UGGGGAAUAUUGGACAAUGGGCGCAAGCCUGAUCCAGCCAUGCCGCGUGAGUGAUGAAGGCCCUAGGGUUGUAAAGCUCUUUCAACGGUGAAGAUAAUGACGGUAACCGUAGAAGAAGCCCCGGCUAACUUCGUGCCAGCAGCCGCGGUAAUACGAAGGGGGCUAGCGUUGUUCGGAAUUACUGGGCGUAAAGCGCACGUAGGCGGAUUGUUAAGUUAGGGGUGAAAUCCCAGGGCUCAACCCUGGAACUGCCUUUAAUACUGGCAAUCUCGAGUCCGAGAGAGGUGAGUGGAAUUCCGAGUGUAGAGGUGAAAUUCGUAGAUAUUCGGAGGAACACCAGUGGCGAAGGCGGCUCACUGGCUCGGUACUGACGCUGAGGUGCGAAAGCGUGGGGAGCAAACAGGAUUAGAUACCCCCGUAGUCC
rnacentral:rRNA from 1 species